AUUGAACGCUGGCGGCAUGCUUUACACAUGCAAGUCGAACGGUAACAGGCCGCAAGGUGCUGACGAGUGGCGAACGGGUGAGUAAUGCAUCGGAACGUGCCCAGUCGUGGGGGAUAACGCAGCGAAAGCUGUGCUAAUACCGCAUACGAUCUAUGGAUGAAAGCGGGGGACCGUAAGGCCUCGCGCGAUUGGAGCGGCCGAUGUCAGAUUAGGUAGUUGGUGGGGUAAAGGCUCACCAAGCCGACGAUCUGUAGCUGGUCUGAGAGGACGACCAGCCACACUGGGACUGAGACACGGCCCAGACUCCUACGGGAGGCAGCAGUGGGGAAUUUUGGACAAUGGGCGCAAGCCUGAUCCAGCAAUGCCGCGUGCAGGAAGAAGGCCUUCGGGUUGUAAACUGCUUUUGUACGGAACGAAACGGACCGGGUUAAUACCCUGGGCUAAUGACGGUACCGUAAGAAUAAGCACCGGCUAACUACGUGCCAGCCGCCGCAGUAAAAC
rnacentral:rRNA from 1 species